rnacentral:rRNA from 1 species
UGAACGCUGGCGGCAUGCCUAACACAUGCAAGUCGAGGGGCAGCACGGGUAGCAAUACCUGGUGGCGACCGGCGCAAGGGUGCGUAACGCGUGAGCAACAUGCCCUAUACAGGGGGAUAAUCCAGGGAAACUUGGUCUAAUAUCCCAUAGCAUUUAGAGGAGGCAUCUUCACUAAAUUAAAGCUUCGGUGGUAUAGGAUUGGCUCGCGUGACAUUAGCUAGAUGGUGAGGUAACGGCCCACCAUGGCUAUGAUGUCUAGGGGUUCUGAGAGGAAGACCCCCACACUGGGACUGAGACACGGCCCAGACUCCUACGGGAGGCAGCAGUGAGGAAUAUUGGACAAUGGAUGGAAAUCUGAUCCAGCCAUGCCGCGUGCAGGAAGACGGCCCUAUGGGUUGUAAACUGCUUUUAUAUGGGAGCAAUAAGGUUUACGAGUAGACCGAUGAGAGUACCAUAUGAAUAAGCAUCGGCUAACUCCGUG